rnacentral:rRNA from 1 species
GGAUAAGCGGAAGAAAUUCCGUCUAAUACCGCGUAAUACUUCCGAGAGGCAUCUCCUGGGGUUUAAAGGGUAACACCGGCUACGGAUGGCCAUGCGGCGCAUUAGCUAGUUGGCGGGGUAACGGCCCACCAAGGCGACGAUGCGUAGGGGUUCUGAGAGGAAGGUCCCCCACACUGGUACUGAGACACGGACCAGACUCCUACGGGAGGCAGCAGUGAGGAAUAUUGGUCAAUGGGCGCGAGCCUGAACCAGCCAAGUCGCGUGAGGGAAGACGGUCCUAUGGAUUGUAAACCUCUUUUGUCGGGGAGCAAAAGACGCCACGCGUGGCGUUCCGAGAGUACCCGAAGAAAAAGCAUCGGCUAACUCCGUGCCAGCAGCCGCGGUAAUACGGAGGAUGCGAGCGUUAUCCGGAUUUAUUGGGUUUAAAGGGUGCGCAGGCGGAAGAUCAAGUCAGCGGUAAAAUUGAGAGGCUCAACCUCUUCGAGCCGUUGAAACUGGUUUUCUUGAGUGAGCGAGAAGUAUGCGGAAUGCGUGGUGUAGCGGUGAAAUGCAUAGAUAUCACGCAGAACUCCGAUUGCGAAGGCAGCAUACCGGCGCUCAACUGACGCUCAUGCACGAAAGUGUGGGUAUCGAACAGGAUUAGAUACCCUGGUAGUCCACACAGUAAACG